GGGUCGUACACUUCUUUUAUAUGGGAAUAAAGUUUUCCACGUGUGGAAUUUUGUAUGUACCAUAUGAAUAAGGAUCGGCUAACUCCGUGCCAGCAGCCGCGGUAAUACGGAGGAUCCGAGCGUUAUCCGGAUUUAUUGGGUUUAAAGGGAGCGUAGGUGGAUUGUUAAGUCAGUUGUGAAAGUUUGCGGCUCAACCGUAAAAUUGCAGUUGAAACUGGCAGUCUUGAGUACAGUAGAGGUGGGCGGAAUUCGUGGUGUAGCGGUGAAAUGCUUAGAUAUCACGAAGAACUCCGAUUGCGAAGGCAGCUCACUAGACUGUCACUGACACUGAUGCUCGAAAGUGUGGGUAUCAAACAGGAUUACAUACCCUGGUAGUCCACGCAGUAAA
rnacentral:rRNA from 1 species